rnacentral:rRNA from 1 species
UUGACCUCGGAUCAGGUAGGAAUACCCGCUGAACUUAAGCAUAUCAAUAAGCGGAGGAAAAGAAACCAACAGGGAUUGCCCCAGUAACGGCGAGUGAAGCGGCAACAGCUCAAAUUUGAAAUCUGGCCCCCCGGGUCCGAGUUGUAAUUUGCAGAGGAUGCUUCGGGUGCGGCGUCGACCAAGUCCCCUGGAACGGGGCGCCAUAGAGGGUGAGAGCCCCGUCGGGUCGGCCGCCAAGCCUGUGUGAAGCUCCUUCGACGAGUCGAGUAGUUUGGGAAUGCUGCUCUAAACGGGAGGUAGACCCCUUCUAAAGCUAAAUAUUGGCCAGAGACCGAUAGCGCACAAGUAGAGUGAUCGAAAGAUGAAAAGCACUUUGAAAAGAGGGUUAAACAGUACGUGAAAUUGUUGAAAGGGAAGCGCUUGUGACCAGACGUGCGCCGGGUGUUCAGCGGGCGUUCUCGCCCGUGUACUCGCCCCGGCGCAGGCCAGCGUCGGUUCGGAUGGGGGGACAAAGGCCCCGGGAAUGUGGCUCCUCCGGGAGUGUUAUAGCCCGGGGCGUCAUGCCCCCGCCCGGACCGAGGUUCGCGCUCUGCAAGGACGCUGGCGUAAUGGUCCCCAGCGGCCCGUCUUGAAACACGGACCAAGGAGUCGAGGUUUUGCGCGAGUGUUUGGGUGUCAAACCCGCACGCGUAAUGAAAGUGAACGCAGGUGGGAGCUUCGGCGCACCACCGACCGAUCCUGAUGUUCUCGGAUGGAUUUGAGUAGGAGCGUAGGGCCUCGGACCCGAAAGAUGGUGAACUAUACGUGGAUAGGGUGAAGCCAGAGGAAACUCUGGUGGAGGCUCGCAGCGGUUCUGACGUGCAAAUCGAUCGUCAAAUCUGCGUAUGGGGGCGAAAGACUAAUCGAACCAUCUAGUAGCUGGUUACCGC